UGAGGCAUAUUGGGCAAUGCCCGCAAGGGUGACCCAGCAACGCCGCGUGGAGGAUGAAUGUCGUAAGAUUGUAAACUCCUGUUAGAGGGGAAGAAUAGUACCGGUUGGACCGGUAUAUGACUGUACCCUCAGAGAAAGCCCCGGCUAACUACGUGCCAGCAGCCGCGGUAAUACGUAGGGGGCAAGCGUUGUCCGGAUUUACUGGGUGUAAAGGGCGCGCAGGCGGGAUAAAAAGUCAGUGGUGAAAUCCUACAGCUUAACUGUAGAACUGCCUUUGAUACUUUUAUUCUUGAGUUCGGGAGAGAGAGACGGAAUUCCAGGUGUAGUGGUGAAAUACGUAGAUAUCUGGAAGAACACCAGUUGCGAAGGCGGUCUCUUGGUCCGACACUGACGCUGAGGCGCGAAAGCGUGGGGAGCAAACA
rnacentral:rRNA from 1 species